UACAGAGGGGGCAAGCGUUGUUCGGAAUUACUGGGCGUAAAGGGCGCGUAGGCGGCCUUCUAAGUCAGACGUGAAAUCCCCGGGCUCAACCCGGGAACUGCGUCUGAUACUGGAGGGCUUGAAUCCGGGAGAGGGAUGCGGAAUUCCAGGUGUAGCGGUGAAAUGCGUAGAUAUCUGGAGGAACACCGGUGGCGAAGGCGGCAUCCUGGACCGGUAUUGACGCUGAGGCGCGAAAGCCA
rnacentral:rRNA from 1 species